UACAACAACCCCAAAGGAAAAACGAAAGGAAAAACCAAAUAAUAGGAAAAUAAAAAAUAGAAAACCAAAAAAGCAAAAGGCCCCAAAAUAAGAAAUCGUCUUCUCAUUUCUACAGUCUUCCAAGCUCUUUGCAAAUCUGAACUCCCCAAAGAAUAAAUGGCUAAAUCUUCUAAAUUUCGGCAGAGAGUCAACCAGAAGAGGAAGCAAGUUUAGACAGACAACCAGAUUACCAAAUUUCUCAACCCAAUCAACUUCACAGAAAAAGAUUUAUGGUGGUCUACUGAAUCGUCGAUCAAAAUCAACCACUUUCAAGAUUUUCAAUGGCGCGUCUUCAACCCAGAACAAAUCAUCAUCAGUUCUCAAACCUUCAACAACCAUUGCAUGCGCUGCCCCAUUUCCUUCUAGCGCAACGAAUUGAAAUCAACAAGAAGAAAAAUUCCUCGUCAAAUUCUUUGCAUCCCAGGUGAAUGGUCUGGAUUCCGAGUAAUUUUCGCGUGUUUGUUGUAUGUUCUGAAUAACCAGCUUUGAAUCACUCUCAAGAAUGAUGUUUGUGAAUCCCAAAUCUAAUGCAAAUUGGAGCCCAUGCAGUACUGCAGUCGCUUCAACAAUCACCACCGAUCGGACCAGAAAGUCCCACAUCGAUAUUAAUUUUCACCCACCCUUACGGAGGGGGCAUCCGUUUUACCAUGGAUCGCGAUUUAGGAUGUUUCAAAGUCAAUGUGCUACCCCAAUAUUCCAUACCAAAACCCCUAAUGAAGCAAACAAACAAUUAAGAACAACAUGCGUAGAGGAUUCACAAAGCUGUCGGCAAUGCGAACAUUUGUUAUCAGUGAUCAAUCUCCUAAAAUGUAAGUUAUGAUAAGUAGGCACAUAAUUUUUCGUAAAUUUCCAA